GCCGCUGUGGCGGAAUUGGUAGACGCGCUGGUCUUAGGAACCAGUUCCCAUUGGGAGUGGAGGUUCGAUUCCUCUCGGCGGCA
rnacentral:tRNA from 1 species